rnacentral:rRNA from 1 species
UGCAGUCGAGCGGAUUUUGGAGGGCUUGCUCUCCAAGGUUAGCGGCGGACGGGUGAGGAAUACGCAGGAAUCUACCUAGUAGUGGGGGAUAACGUUCCGAAAGGAACGCUAAUACCGCAUACGACCUACGGGUGAAAGCAGGGGACCUUCGGGCCUUGCGCUAUUAGAUGAGCCUGCGUCGGAUUAGCUUGUUGGUGAGGUAAAGGCUCACCAAGGCGACGAUCCGUAGCUGGUCUUAGAGGAUGAUCAGCCACACUGGGACUGAGACACGGCCCAGACUCCUACGGGAGGCAGCAGUGGGGAAUAUUGGACAAUGGGCGAAAGCCUGAUCCAGCCAUGCCGCGUGUGUGAAGAAGGCCUUCGGGUUGUAAAGCACUUUAAGCGAGGAGGAAAGGUUGAAGGUUAAUACCCUUUAGCUGUGACGUUACUCGCAGAAUAAGCACCGGCAAACUUCGUGCCAGCAGCCGCGGUAAUACGAAGGGUGCAAGCGUUAAUCGGAAUUACUGGGCGUAAAGCGCGCGUAGGUGGUUAGGUAAGCGUACUGUGAAAGCCCCGGGCUCAACCUGGGAACUGCAGGACGAACUGCUUGACUAGAGUAUAGUAGAGGAGUGUGGAAUUCCCGGUGUAGCGGUGAAAUGCGUAGAUAUCGGGAGGAACAUCAGUGGCGAAGGCGGCACUCUGGACUGAUACUGACACUGAGGUGCGAAAGCGUGGGUAGCGAACAGGAUUAGAUACCCUGGUAGUCCACGCCGUAAACGAUGUCUGCUAGCCGUUGGGAUCCUUGAGGUCUCAGUGGCGAAGUUAACGCGAUAAGCAGACCGCCUGGGGAGUACGGCCGCAAGGUUAAAACUCAAAUGAAUUGACGGGGGCCCGCACAAGCGGUGGAGUAUGUGGUUUAAUUCGACGCACCGCGAAAACCCUUACCAGGUCUUGACAUCCACGGAACUUUCU